GAGCGAGAGCUCAGGCAACGCGGUGGAAAGCCUGCAAGUUCGCUCCGAGGGCCCUUCCCGGAGCAACUGGAUCGAGCCGGUCCCAAACUCCGGAUCCUCUCCAGGAAGGCUACUCCUCGCCUCGCGGUGCGGGUUCCCAGAGCCUGACCCGCCGCUCCCAGCGCUCCUGGCUGCUGGGAGCUCGUUUCCAGCUUAUUAUUACAAGUGCCCUGACAGCACCGAGAAGGGGAGAAAGUCAUCAUGUGCCCGGAGUCGAAGGCUCAGUUGGGCCACGGAAGCUGAGGGCCUCCUCUUACUCUUCCGAGAAGAGCAUCAGGCCUGGAUAGGCACCUGUUGUGAACAGAUCUGAACUCAUUUGGCCCUUUGGCAAUUGUCGGUUCUUGUAUUUCCAGCCACUGGAGAUGAGAGGCACUGCACGAGGAAACAGUCUGUGGCAAGUGUGACGGAUGAACGCAGGGCACAGGCUUCAGAAGCAGACAUACCUGCCAUUGAAUCCAGGCUCUUCCCAGUGGGGAACACAGGGAAGAACCGAUGCAGUUACCACCUGUAUCCCCACACAUGAUCU